rnacentral:rRNA from 1 species
GACGAACGCUGGCGGCGUGCCUAAUACAUGCAAGUCGAGCGGACCGACGGGAGCUUGCUCCCUUAGGUCAGCGGCGGACGGGUGAGUAACACGUGGGUAACCUGCCUGUAAGACUGGGAUAACUCCGGGAAACCGGGGCUAAUACCGGAUGCUUGAUUGAACCGCAUGGUUCAAUCAUAAAAGGUGGCUUUCAGCUACCACUUACAGAUGGACCCGCGGCGCAUUAGCUAGUUGGUGAGGUAACGGCUCACCAAGGCGACGAUGCGUAGCCGACCUGAGAGGGUGAUCGGCCACACUGGGACUGAGACACGGCCCAGACUCCUACGGGAGGCAGCAGUAGGGAAUCUUCCGCAAUGGACGAAAGUCUGACGGAGCAACGCCGCGUGAGUGAUGAAGGUUUUCGGAUCGUAAAACUCUGUUGUUAGGGAAGGACAAGUACCGUUCGAAUAGGGCGGCACCUUGACGGUACCUAACCAGAAAGCCACGGCUAACUACGUGCCAGCAGCCGCGGUAAUACGUAGGUGGCAAGCGUUGUCCGGAAUUAUUGGGCGUAAAGCGCGCGCAGGCGGUUUCUUAAGUCUGAUGCGAAAGCCCCCGGCUCAACCGGGGAGGGUCAUUGGAAACUGGGGAACUUGAGUGCAGAAGAGGAGAGUGGAAUUCCACGUGUAGCGGUGAAAUGCGUAGAGAUGUGGAGGAACACCAGUGGCGAAGGCGACUCUCUGGUCUGUAACUGACGCUGAGGCGCGAAAGCGUGGGGAGCGAACAGG